UAAAAACCCCGACUUCGGAAGGGGUGUAUUUAUUAGAUACAAAACCAAUGCCCUUCGGGGCUCUUUGGUGAUUCAUGAUAACUAUACGAAUCGCACGGCCUUGCGCCGGCGAUGGUUCAUUCAAAUUUCUUCCCUAUCAACUUUCGAUGUUUGGGUAUUGGCCAAACAUGGUUGCAACGGGUAACGGAGGGUUAGGGCUCGACCCCGGAGAAGGAGCCUGAGAAACGGCUACUACAUCCAAGGAAGGCAGCAGGCGCGCAAAUUACCCAAUCCCGACUCGGGGAGGUAGAGACAAUAAAUACUGAUACAGGGCCCUUUCGGGCCUUGUAAUUGGAAUGAGUACAAUUUAAAUCCCUUAACGAGGAACAAUUGGAGGGCAAGUCUGGUGCCAGCAGCCGCGGUAAUUCCAGCUCCAAUAGCGUAUAUUAAAGUUGUUGUGGUUAAAAAGCUCGUAGUUGAACCUUGGGCCUGGCUGGCCGGUCCGCCUCACCGCGUGCACUGGUCCGGCCGGGCCUUUCCCUCUGUGGAACCCCAUACCCUUCACUGGGCGUGGCGGGGAAACAGGACAUUUACUUU
rnacentral:rRNA from 1 species